rnacentral:lncRNA from 1 species
CAGCAAUCUCGGUGGGGCGUCGAGACCCAGCAGCGGCGGAGUCCGACUGAGGGUGGUUAGAACUUGGUUGCGGGGCCUUGAAGGCCGGGUUAGGCAUCUUCUGUUCGUUAGGAGUUUCCGGGUCGCCGAUACCUCAGAGUCCCGGCUCCCCCUCCCGGGGCGGUUAGGCACAGAAGCCCAGGCCUCAGGCCUCUCCCCUAGGGGCGUGGCCAGAUGCUCUAGCCAAUGAAUGGCCGCCCCUGGGGCCCCGCCCCGCCCCCGCCUCCGGAGCCGC